UUAAGUUCAGCGGGUAGUCCUACCUGAUUUGAGGUCAAGCGUCAAAAAGGUAAAAGGGGUCGCAAGUCCCCCCGAUACCAUGUUGUUUUUGGAAGCAAAGAUCGAAUCUACGCCUCACACUCCAGCCACGACGAUCAUUAUCACGUCAAAGGCCGUUCAUGCAGGGCUUGUCAACCUUUCGCUAAUGCUUUUAAGGAGAG
rnacentral:misc_RNA from 1 species